UCCUACGGGAGGCAGCAGUGGGGAAUUUUCCGCAAUGGGCGAAAGCCUGACGGAGCAAUACCGCGUGAGGGAGGAAGGCUCUUGGGUCGUAAACCUCUUUUCUCAAGGAAGAAGUAAGUGACGGUACUUGAGGAAUAAGCAUCGGCUAACUCCGUGCCAGCAGCCGCGGUAAUACGGAGGAUGCAAGCGUUAUCCGGAAUGAUUGGGCGUAAAGGGUCUGCAGGUGGAACUGAAAGUCUGCUGUUAAAGAGUUUGGCUUAACCAAAUAAAAGCGGUGGAAACUACAGAACUAGAGUGCGGUAGGGGCAAAAGGAAUUCCUGGUGUAGCGGUGAAAUGCGUAGAUAUCAGGAAGAACACCGGUGGCGAAAGCGUUUUGCUAGACCGUAACUGACACUGAGGGACGAAAGCUAGGGGAGCGAAUGGGAUUAGAUACCCCAGUAGUCCUAGCCGUAAACGAUGGAUACUAGGCGUGGCUUGUAUCGACCCGGGCCGUGCCGGAGCUAACGCGUUAAGUAUCCCGCCUGGGGAGUACGCACGCAAGUGUGAAACUCAAAGGAAUUGACGGA
rnacentral:rRNA from 1 species